AAGACUAUACUUUCAGGGAUCAUUUCUUUAGUUGUUUACUUGAGAAAUGUGUUUCUAAAGAGUAUGGUCUCGCUGUCCAUGAUGAAGAGUUCAGAUGUUUCCUUCAGAGCAGGAAACUGGUGGGAAGACUUUGUUUCUUUUCCACUGUUGAAGAUUGUCCAGGGAUUCUGAAAGACUCCCUGAUGGAGGGAACAUGAUCUGAGUGGA
rnacentral:snoRNA from 1 species